CGAUGCAGUGAAAGACGCUGCGGACUAUGUGGCCGGUAACGUAAAAGAUAUGCCGGCAGCUAGCCAACUCCGCUUUCUAACGAGGUUAAGGCGUGACCUAGAAAACGGAAACAGCGAGACCUGGGGUGGGGUCUCAUCGAACGGGAAGUUCGAAGAUGGAGACCCGGUUCGGCACGAAAUAAGAAAGGUUUGGGGGCCCGUUGGUCAAAGGAAAGGAAAGGGAAGGUCCUGCUUCCGGG
rnacentral:misc_RNA from 1 species